rnacentral:lncRNA from 1 species
AGCCCAAGGAGUGAAACAUCCUGGCCAGGAAGGAUGAGGAGAUAAGAGCUUUUCAGGGUGCUCUGAACCCACCACCCCAUGGGGCAGGCUGGGCACGCACAGUCUCUGCCGGAGCAGGAGAGUCAAGCCAAGGAGAAAGGCACCAAUGGAGGCACUGGGGACUGACCUUGCAGUGACACUGCCCUGUGACUGGGUCACACACGCUGGCCUGGGUGCCAGCCUGGUGGCAGUCACAGCGCCUGCACUCAGGGUAGUGGUAGUAGCCAGGGGCACAGAGGUCACACUGCCGCCCGAUGAUGUUGGGCUUGCACCUGGAGGGACACAAGAGCCACAAGAGCUUUCAGAGCUUUCCCCAUUCUGCACAAGGUGUCCCAGCAGGGACUCUAGCAGGAGCCCAGAUGUCCCCAGUGGCAGAACAAGGCUGCCCCACCUGCACUGGCCGCUGUGCACGUCGCAGCCUGGCUCUGCCAGCUCCUGCACGCCGGGCCGGGAGCAGUUGCAGUCCUCACAGCCGAUCAGGGGGUGGCACCCGAACGUCUGGGGCUCACACACGACACACUCGGGCUUCAGGGUGUGGGGAGGGCAGAUGCACUGCCCUGUCACCUCAUCACACAGACGUGUCCCGCAGUCACAGGCUGCGAGGGGCAGAAAAAGGCUGGGUUUGGGUGAGCCAGACCCAGGAACGCAGGGCAGGCAUGGGGAAUGGACACAGAGCAGGGGAGGCAGAGGGCAGCCAGGGGAACUCACGCCUGCAGUUGGGGAAGCCCCAGUAUCCGGUGGCACAGCGGGAGCACUGGCGGCCGAUGACGUUGGGCCUGCAGGGACACUGUCCCCCCAGGGGCUGGCACUGGCUGCCCCGUGCCCCCGCCUCGUGGCAGGCACACGGCUGUGCCCCGUCGUUGUAGAAGAGGGACAGGGAGAUGGCAGAGUCACGGCAGAACCUCGACGACGUGCUGGGGUUGAGCACGAAGGGCUCCCCGAAGCUGUUCUGGGGCACAGUGACAAAGGCUGGCUCCGUGCUGGGGGCAAAGACAAUCUGCUUGGUCUGCUCUGUACCUGGAACGGGAGGGAUGAGAGGCUGUGAAGGGACUGGAAUGGAAAACUGGGGCUGGACAUGGCAGGGAAUGCUCAGGGAAGCAGCUCUAUGGUGCAGUGGGCAGUGACAGGUUCCCACUCUCUCGGUGCACCACAGUCCCACACUGUCCUGGAACAGAGACAUCCACUCUCAAUCUGCUCAAUAGCCUAAUGGGAGAAAUAAAUAGAAAUCACUGCAAUCCUCA